UUUUCUUUUUCUUUCACCUUCUGCGUUCUCUUGAAUGCUGUUGUAUGUACCACAAACAAAAGAAAUUUUAUGUUUCAAUUUUUUAAAUAACUCAGUCGAGUAUUCAUUGAUAAAAGCUUCAAUUGGCGGAGUAACUCAAUUAAAAUUGUUGAAAAAAAUAAACAAAAAAAGUUUUCAAACAAAAUUUCAAAGAAAAAAAUAAAAGGAUUGUCCUUAAAUUUAAUUGUACUAAUAAAAAGACAAAAUGAAAACUACUUCCAUUGCAAAAUACGCAGUAAAAUUAAAUUUAAGUCAGAUGAUUGAAUUUUCAUCAAAUUCGGCCAACAAAUCAGACAAAUUGGUAAGUUAUUCAGCAGCUGCAUUGGCUGCGGCUGGUAUUGCAAUAUCAUCAGUCAGUUUGAAACAAAUGUUAUUAACGAGUAGUCCUAAAGUUGAGUGGCGGAAACAAUAAAAAAAUAGACAUCAAUGAUAUGUAUAUAUAAAUGUGGUCAUAAAAUUAUUAGCAUCAUAUUUAAUCUAGUAGUGACCUAAAUCCCUAUUUGGUUUACUUUUAUUUCAUUUAAGUAUUUUGUUUAUAUGUAAUUUAUUUUUAAUAAGUAACAAAAUAUUAGUUAAAAAUAUAACUAAUAUUUAAAAUAAAAGAAUCUUAGGAUGCUUAAAAACGCUAAUAAAUAGAAGGUUUGUAAUGAAUAUUGAUUAUAAAAUGUUUGACUAUCAAUCAAAUCGCAUAUUUAAUCAUUAUUAAAUUUUUAAACUGAAAUUUUUGUAAAAAUUUGAGUUCUUUUUUGUUACUUUUUCAGAUUAUUUAUAUAUUUUUAAAAUUUUAGCAAAUAAAAACGCGAUGUUGUUCGAAAAUGAAAAAUUAUGUCAAUCAUGCACAAUUUAAAAUUAUUAUUAUUAUGUUUCUGUUAGCAGGUAAGCUAAGAAAGGCUACCACAUUUCAUUUAGCAAAUUAGUAAUAGAAACAGAAUGUUUCUUAAACUUGUGUGAGUUAUAAAUUUUAUUUUCAAUAUUCAAAUUUUUCGAAAGCAUAAGUAAAUAUUUAUUGUGAAAGAACAUCACAAACUUUUUUUGGCGAUUAAAAUUCAUUAAAAAUUUAAACUUCUUUAAGAUCUAUGUACGUUUGAAAUUCAUGUUUUUCAAAAUUAUUUAGUUUAUUGUUUUGCACUAUUUACUCUCGAAUUAGAUAUUCAAGAAGAACAUUAUGGAUGUACGUAGUGCAAUACUUUUUCCUAAAAAAAUUUUUUAAAUAUUUUUAGUAAAAUGUUAUGAUGAGACUUGUAACAAGUUUGUGAUAAAAGUGUAGGUUUAUAAUUUAGUAGAAUGAAAAAUGAAAAAAAUAUUUAAAAAAAUUGUAAAAAUUUUCAAAGCGCAUAUAAAAAAAAAUUAAACGAUAUUACAUUUGGAAUCUAAAUUAAAAAUAAACAAAUUGUCAAAUAUCAAA